UUUUCUAUUUUCUGCCCUCUUCAUUUUUUCUAUUUUCUAUUUUUCUUUUUUCUAUUCUUCUUUUUUCUAUUUUCUAUUUUUUCUAUUUUCUGCCCUCUUCAUUUUUUUCUAUUUUCUUUUUUCUAUUCUUCUAUUUUUCUUUUUUCUAUUUUCUUCUUUUUUUUUCUGUUUUCUAUUUUCUUUUUUCUAUUUUCUGCCCUCUUCUUUUUUCUAUUUUCUUUUUUCUAUUUUCUGCCCUCUUCAUUUUUUCUAUUCUUUUCCCUCUUCUUUUUUUUUUUUUCCUAUUUUUUCUGUUUUCUCCUCCUUUUUGCCUAUUAUUUGCUCUUUUUCUUUGCUCUACUUUCUCCUCUUUUCCUAUUUUCUGCUUCCUCCUCCACUGGCGUUUUGCUGCCGCCUUCUCGCCUCCCUGCGUCCUUCCCAGCAAGCAGCUUUUAACCAAAAUGUCCUUUUUUCCUCCUCUUUUUUUUCCUCCUGCCCAGGCGCGUCGCUGCCGCUCUUCUACACCUGGCUGGGGGUUUGGGAAGCCUCCCGCACCCGCGCGCCUCUCCUCAGCCUCUACAACCUCCUCCUCCUCCUCCCCUCGCCAUUUUUGGGCUCAAAUCUCGGCUUUUCCGGCUGCGUGAAGCAGGCGCGCCCUCGGCGGUUUGGGGAAAAACGGCCGCGAUUGGGUUAAUUCGGGGUCGGCGUGAAGCCGGGCUGGAGCCGCUCGUCAGCCUCCUUCAUCAAAUUAAUUAGAAUUUGGCGUUUUCUCUCUUCGAUUUUUAAAUCUUCCUCAUGUCUACAUUUUAUCUUCACUCUUUCUUUAUUUUUUUUCCAGCGCUGUCAUUGUGGGGUUUUUGCGUCAUUUUCACCCGGUUUUGUUCCUGCUGUGUCACUCUGGGGGGGGGGGUCCUGGCAAAAAGGCUGUUUUUCCCCAAAACAAUCAGAAAUCUUUUGGGGGAAAAAUGGUUUAAAUCACAGGUGAGUAUAUGUUUGUGCUUGUGCCACGUUGCUUUUACAGUUGGAAACACUCCCAAUCCCCCUUUUUUUGUCCUCAUUUAUCAGCAACCCCCCCCAACCCCCUUUUUAAUUCCCCCCUUUCGACAAAGCUCAGACAAACCUUUUUCAUCCCCACCCCGCUUCCCAUCAAAGCACGAAGCCUCUUAAUGUAUUUUUUUCAUUAAAAUACCCCCAAAUCUCCUCAUUUUCUACAAUUUCAAGGCCAUGCUGAGUCAUUGCGCAGCCUCAGCCAUGCUGGCCAUUUUUAAGCAAAAAAAAAAUCCCUGUUUGCGGCAUUUUGAGGCAUUUCCGGGCAGCCCCCGCUCCCAUGUCGCAGGUAAUGACACCCCAAAAUCGCUGCUAGUGAGGACACCCCCCCAAAAAAUGUGGGAAACCAGUAAUUAGGGCCAAUUAAUGCGGCUGACGAGGCGAUGACGCGGGCGGUCACUGGGCAACGGACGAGUUUUUCCGCCGUGUUUCCAGGGCGUUUCCUGCGAAACAAGAAGGGAUUCAGCUGUUAUUAUUUGGUCACUAACAUCCAUAAAAGUAUUUUUUUCCUGUUUCAACCUCCCAUCGCUAACAAAACUGGACUUCAGGGGGAUUUAACGCAGAACAUGUUUUUUUUUGCAGCAGUGAUUUGCACAUUUCUGCCUGUUUUUACACACAUACCCCCCCCUCCCCUUUCCUUCUUUGAUACGAAACAAAUUAUUUCGUCUUUAAAACUGCCAAAUUAGAAUUAAAAUUAAAAAAAAAUCUACUGCCACACUACAAGAGUUCACGUUUUCGGCAUGGAAAUGCCCCCAAAAGCUGAUUUUCCCUCCAGCUAUUGGGCUCAGAGAAGCCAUUUUAGGCCCUUUUCCCUCAGAAAAGCCUCUGUCAGGAAGGAUUGCUUCUUUUUUUUUCACUCUAACCUUGUUAUCUUUUGUCAGGAAUAGUACAACGCGGCCCACCUGAGUGGAAACGCUGAUUUUCUUUCAGGGAUUGCACCAAAAAGCUGCACAAUGAGCCCAGAAGAGGCCCCCUCCCCCCGGCAGCCAUUUUGUCUCCUUCAGGGUCGGACAGCUCUGCCCGCAAUUUUAAGCCUAUUUUUCCUUUCUUUUCGGCACCAGAAAACACCGAUUUCAGCACAGAACUACACGUAGAACGAAGGGAACACUUUAAAAAAAAU
ensembl:lncRNA